GUGGAUCCAAUGGGGUAGCGGAAUCCUCCGACGACCAGGCGGGAAUGGGGUAAAUGAUCCGGACAUACCUCCCCCUCCGCCCCGUGUCAUCGGAGGCCAGCCGGCUUAUACCGUCCAUUGGAUACUGGAUUCCCGCUGGGUGCAGCGGUCCUGGCAGUAUCUGGUGGACUGGGAAGGCUACGGUCCCGAGGAGCGCUUCUGGGUUCCUGCCAAAGACAUACUGGACCCUGACCUCAUUCGACAGUUCAGGGCCAUCCACCCCGAGAAAGCAGACGAACGCCGUUACAAGAAUUAACAGCUUCUGGCAGAUUGGCAAAUCUGAAGACCUGAUAUUGUGAUCUUUAAAAAAAAAAUUACUGAAUAUUUUCUUAACC
ensembl:lncRNA